rnacentral:rRNA from 1 species
UACAGAGGUCCCGAGCGUUGUUCGGAUUCACUGGGCGUAAAGGGUGCGUAGGUGGCUGGAAAAGUUUGAUGUGAAAGCUCAGGCUUAACCCUGAAAUGGCAUUGAAUACUGUCGAGCUGGAGGUUUGGAGGGGGACUGGAAUUCUUGGUGUAGCAGUGAAAUGCGUAGAUAUCAAGAGGAACACCAGUGGCGAAGGCGAGUCCCUGGACAACACCUGACACUGAGGCACGAAAGCUAGGGGAGCAAACAGG